rfam:Strongylocentrotus purpuratus Contig66910_fixed, whole genome shotgun sequence.
GCCUCCUUGGCCUAAUGGAUACGGCAUCGGUCUCCUAAACAGGGGAUUGUGGGUUCGAGUCCCACCGGAGGUG